UUAAUAUUCCCAUGUGUUAAUACAACACAAAAUCGAUUUCUCCAUAUCUACAAUUAAAGGCAGCAGCUAGGGUGUCCGUGUUUGUCAGCAAAGAUGACAUUCAUCAUAUAAAAUAGUAACAAUUUAUAACAUGGCAAUUGUAGUUUAGCAAAUCGAGAACACUUCCUGGACAAGUUUGUGGAGUAGGUCCCAAUCUUGAAACGCCAACAGCCUGCAACUGAGGCGGCCCCGUAGGAUCACUAAUGCCCAAUAAUUCUUUUUGGCGUGAUGAAGCCGGACCAGGCACUUUAAUUCUGGCAAUUACGAGUGUCAUGGCCGCGAGGCGGCGUGAUUUGGGACAACCCUCGCCGUGAAUUAGACGGCGAACACAACAAUAAUGGCUAUUGAUGCCGUCAUUGAAGGAGGAUGAAAAUGGCGGUGACGAUGGGGAUCAGAGCUGGCAUCGCAGCUUGAGAUCAGAGAAGAGGGAAGACAGAGCUGGCAGUGUCCAGCUUGAUACCAGAGCAGAAAAUCUUAGCUGCCUUUAAACCCCGAGUCAGAGCUAUCAGUAGGAUAUUGCGGGUUGAAUUUCGGCACAGUUCUGGAGGCCAUCUUCUUUCCCAAUGCGUGACUUGACGAAUCCAUAUUCGAAUUUUAGCUGACCUUUUCCUUCGAUGAGAUAAAUAAGUUGCUCUGCCCAGAAUUCAAUCGGGGAUCACCAAUAUUCAGGGAUGAUUUGCCAUUUUGCCCAAUUGUCGUAGAUCUGGAAUAUUUUGGAUCGA
rnacentral:lncRNA from 1 species